UCCAAGAUGGCAGAACUUUAUGUAUAAAAUUUAGGAUUUUAAGAUGGAUUUAAAUCCUCUUGGAA
rnacentral:tRNA from 1 species